UGGAAGUAGUGCUUUCGAUUAUAACAUUUUAUCUCCACUGGUGGGGAUCGGUGAAGGAAGUUCUCCCCCUCUAUCUUCAUAAGAAUCUAUGAUCAAAAAGUAGUCAGAGGGAUGUAGGAGUCGUACCUGCUCACAAAGUUUUUGGGCUUCUGACUUAAUUAGAGAGGUGGAGCCUCUUUCUCGGCAUGGAUCUGACUAGGCUCGUCGGAGACUCCUCCUUUCCUUGCCUUCUUCUAUUGGCCC
rnacentral:lncRNA from 1 species